rnacentral:miRNA from 1 species
ACGAGCUUCGCGGUACUACUC